UCUGCUGUAGUGCAUGCUCAUAGCUUAAUUCACAGAAGGUUAGCUGCUAUUCUGCUAAAUGUCUUAUUCUACAUUUCUUUUAUUAUCUGGGUAGUGUCAUUUCCUACCCCACUCUACAAUGUCUAGCCUUGAAAAGAAGUAGUUAUUCAAUAGGCAGGUGCUAGUGCUGAUGGAUGGCUAAAAAAAGAGUUUCUCUCAAGAUAGGUCAUAAUCUAAAAGCAACUGAAUAUGUGUACAUUCCCUUGGUGCUUAUUACCUUGAGGAUGAGAAAGGGUAGACUGUCUUACAAAUGUAAGAGAAUUUAAUGUAACUUUCAUGUUACCUUAGUGAAGUGAAAAUAGACUAAAAUAGUUAAGACAGUGUUCCAAACCCACUGCAGUGAUCCAGAAAUGUAACAAAAGGCAUUAUGAUGUUUGUGGAAGGAGGUGGGGCAUUAUUGUGAUAUUAGAAUAUCUAAGACAUUUCCAUAGUUACCUAUGUGAUCCCAAAUGCAUUUUAAGGCACACGAUUUAAAAAUAUAUCACUAUCUCUAUGCAAAAUGGGAACUGUUAGGAAAUAUAUGCUCUAAAUAGAGCAUUGCUUGUCACAAAGGGAUUUAACUAUUUGUUUGUAGAAAACUGUGUGAAGAAAGCAAAGGAUUCAUGAGCUGUGAAACUGGUCUACAAUAGCAUCUUUGGCAGAAUCAAAGGCCUGCAAAAGAAUAAUUUAAAGGAGAAGAAAGAAAGCAAAGGGAGAGAGGUAUUCGGUAUUCAGGACUAUGGGUGAUCGUCGCUUGGAUGCUUGGUCUCAGGCUGUUGUGUUUGGCAGAUAUCAGUGAUUCUUCAGAAUGUUGGAAGGUGCCCAUAACUGACGCUGGCAAUUAUUACCUCUUGCCUGAGGGUUCAUCAGACUCAAAUGGAGCAAUGUGUAGCCAGUUGUUUUGCUACAGCAACCCAUGGUCUCAGAACAGAAGUGGUGUUUAAAUC